GGGCACCUGGGCACAGCGCCGACCUUCUCUUCCGUUUGCAGUUCACUGCAUAAUUGUGCAAAUGAGGAAAAAAAAGAUUUAUUUUUCACAAGAAGAAAUGUGUAGCGUGUAGAGAUGGCUAGUUUGAGUUACUUCUGCAGCCGGUCCCUCUAGGGGGCUAUCUUCAUCUUUCCUACUAACGUCCACCACCAAAGGAAAGGUGCCCGAAAGCCAAGGAGGAGCUGCCUGGUCCCUGGCAGAACCUCACUGAGCCCUGUCAUGGGAUCUGCACGCAUUAACCUUGGCUGACUUCAGGGUGAGGUGUGCUGCCCCCUCCCCAAACCUCUGGCUCUCCCCCCUCCCCAAGGGUUUGCAAUAAUCCUGAUAUGUGGGCCCAUUUUUCUUUGAAAGCUUUUGUUAUCAUUGAAUAGAUCUCUGCUUUUGAAGGGUCAGGGGUUUCUGAUAUUUUUUUUUCCCUCUCCUCUCCCUGUCCCUGCAAAGAAGAGAACCAAUAAAUUUUAGGGUUGUCUGUGCGUGUAGACUCUGUCAUCCGUAUGUAACUUGUUUCUGAAGAGAAGUGUUUCCGUUGUGGGUGUGUCUCGCUGUAAAUACUUGUUCAUAUUUUUGUGAAUUCAAUACUAUGUACCAUUGUAUUAUAGUAACUUUUAUAAAGCAAACCAUAAAUAUACUGACUUUUCUUACAGCUA
rnacentral:lncRNA from 1 species